rnacentral:rRNA from 1 species
CAGUAGCCGCGGGAAUACGUAGGGUGCGAGCGUUAAUCGGAAUUACUGGGCGUAAAGCGCACGUAGGCGGACUUUUAAGUCAGGGGUGAAAUCCCGGGGCUCAACCCCGGAACUGCCUUUGAUACUGGGAGUCUUGAGUUCGAGAGAGGUGAGUGGAAUUGCGAGUGUAGAGGUGAAAUUCGUAGAUAUUCGGAGGAACACCAGUGGCGAAGGCGGCUCACUGGUCCAUUACUGACGCUGAGGUGCGAAAGCGUGGGGAGCAAACAGGAUUAGAUACCCCUGUAGUCCCUGUCUCUUAUAC